UACGGAGGGUGCAAGCGUUGUCCGGAAUCACUGGGCGUAAAGGGCGCGUAGGCGGCUCAUGAAGGCUGUGGUGAAAGUCCGGGCUCAACCUCGGAUCGGCCGUGGCGACUCGUGGGCUGGAGCACUGUAGAGGCGGGUGGAAUUCCGGGUGUAGCGGUGGAAUGCGUAGAGAUCCGGAAGAACACCAGUGGCGAAGGCGGCCCGCUGGGCAGUGGCUGACGCUGAGGCGCGACAGCGUGGGGAGCAAACAGG
rnacentral:rRNA from 1 species